ACGGGAGGCAGCAGUGGGGGAUAUUGCACAAUGGGGGAAACCCUGAUGCAGCGACGCCGCGUGAGUGAAGAAGUAUUUCGGUAUGUAAAGCUCUAUCAGCAGGGAAGAUAAUGACAGUACCUGAAUAAGAAGCCCCGGCUAACUACGUGCCAGCAGCCGCGGUAAUACGUAGGGGGCAAGCGUUAUCCGGAUUUACUGGGUGUAAAGGGAGCGUAGACGGAAUGGCAAGUCUGAAGUGAAAUACGUGGGCUUAACCCACGAACUGCUUUGGAAACUGUCAGUCUGGAGUGUCGGAGAGGUAAGCGGAAUUCCUGGUGUAGUAGUGAAAUGCGUAGAUAUCAGGAAGAACACCGGAGGCGAAGGCGGCUUACUGGACGAUAACUGACGUUGAGGCUCGAAAGCGUGGGGAGCAAACAGGAUUAGAUACCCUGGUA
rnacentral:rRNA from 1 species